rnacentral:rRNA from 1 species
GACGAACGCUGGCGGCGUGCUUAACACAUGCAAGUCGAACGGAAAGGCCCUGCUUUUGUGGGGUGCUCGAGUGGCGAACGGGUGAGUAACACGUGAGUAACCUGCCCUUGACUUUGGGAUAACUUCAGGAAACUGGGGCUAAUACCGGAUAGGAGCUCCUGCUGCAUGGUGGGGGUUGGAAAGUUUCGGCGGUUGGGGAUGGACUCGCGGCUGAUCAGCUUGUUGGUGGGGUAGUGGCUUACCAAGGCUUUGACGGGUAGCCGGCCUGAGAGGGUGACCGGCCACAUUGGGACUGAGAUGCGGCCCAGACUCCUACGGGAGGCAGCAGUGGGGAAUAUUGCACAAUGGGCGGAAGCCUGAUGCAGCAACGCCGCGUGCGGGAUGACGGCCUUCGGGUUGUAAACCGCUUUCGCCUGUGACGAAGCGUGAGUGACGGUAAUGGGUAAAGAAGCACCGGCUAACUACGUG